GAUGAACGCUGGCGGCGUGCUUAACACAUGCAAGUCGAACGAAGCACCUUGAUUCGAUUCUUCGGAUGAAGAUCUUGGUGACUGAGUGGCGGACGGGUGAGUAACGCGUGGGUAACCUGCCUCAUACAGGGGGAUAACAGUUAGAAAUGACUGCUAAUACCGCAUAAGACCACAGCACCGCAUGGUGCAGGGGUAAAAACUCCGGUGGUAUGAGAUGGACCCGCGUCUGAUUAGGUAGUUGGUGGGGUAACGGCCUACCAAGCCGACGAUCAGUAGCCGACCUGAGAGGGUGACCGGCCACAUUGGGACUGAGACACGGCCCAAACUCCUACGGGAGGCAGCAGUGGGGAAUAUUGCAGAAUGGGGGAGACCCUGAUGCAGCGACGCCGCGUGAGCGAUGAAGUAUUUCGGUAUGUAAAGCUCUAUCAGCAGGGAAGAAAAUGACGGUACCUGACUAAGAAGCACCGGCUAAAUACGUG
rnacentral:rRNA from 1 species